rnacentral:rRNA from 1 species
GAAUCUGCCCUUUGGAGUGGGACAACCACUGGAAACGGUGGCUAAUACCGGAUGUGCCGCAACGUGAAAGGGGAAACCCGCCUGAAGAUGAGCUCGCGUCUGAUUAGCUAGUUGGUGAGGUAAAGGCUCACCAAGGCGACGAUCAGUAGCUGGUCUGAGAGGAUGACCAGCCACACUGGGACUGAGACACGGCCCAGACUCCUACGGGAGGCAGCAGUGGGGAAUUUUCCGCAAUGGGCGAAAGCCUGACGGAGCAAGACCGCGUGGGGGAAGAAGGCUCUUGGGUUGUAAACCCCUUUUCUCUGGGAAGAAAGUUGUGAAAGCAACCUGACGGUACCAGAGGAAUCAGCAUCGGCUAACUCCGUGCCAGCAGCCGCGGUAAUACGGAGGAGGCAAGCGUUAUCCGGAAUUAUUGGGCGUAAAGCGUCCGUAGGUGGGUGAGGAAGUCUGCUGUCAAAGCGUGAGGCUUAACCUCAUAAGGGCAGUGGAAACUCUUCGUCUAGAGUGCGACAGGGGCAAGGGGAAUUCCUAGUGUAGCGGUGAAAUGCGUAGAGAUUAGGAAGAACACCGGUGGCGAAAGCGCCUUGCUGGGUCUGCACUGACACUGAGGGACGAAAGCUAGGGGAGCG